rnacentral:rRNA from 1 species
UACGUAGGGUGCAAGCGUUAAUCGGAAUACUGGGCGUAAAGCGUGCGCAAGCGGUUUUGUAAGUUUGUCGUGAAAGCCCCGGGCUCAACCUGGGAAUUGCGAUGAAGACUGCAAGGCUUGAAUCUGGCAGAGGGGGGUAGAAUUCCACGUGUAGCAGUGAAAUGCGUAGAGAUGUGGAGGAACACCGAUGGCGAAGGCAGCCCCCCUGGGCCAAUACUGACGCUCAUGCACGAAAGCGUGGGGAGCAAACAGG